rnacentral:rRNA from 1 species
AUUGAACGCUGGCGGCAGGCCUAACACAUGCAAGUCGAGCGAGCGGCGGACGGGUGAGUAAUGUAUGGGAAACCGCCUGAUGGAGGGGGAUAACUACUGGAAACGGUAGCUAAUACCGCAUACCAUCGGAUGUGCCCAAUGGGGAUUAGCUAGUAGGUGGGGUAAAGGCUCACCUAGGCGACGAUCCCUAGCUGGUCUGAGCGGAUGACCAGCCACACUGGAACUGAGACACGGUCCAGACUCCUACGGGAGGCAGCAGUGGGGAAUAUUGCGCAAUGGGCGCAAGCCUGAUGCAGCCAUGCCGCGUGUAUGAAGAAGGCCUUCGGGUUGUAAAGUACUUUCAGCGGAGAGGCGGAACCCGAAAAAGAAGCACCGGCUAACUCCGUGCCAGCAGCCGCGGUAAUUA